UUGCCUCUCAUGUUAUAAUUGCAGAAAGAUUCUUACAAGUGAAAAAUGCUCUAGAAAAAUAUGGUUUUAGAUGUUCAAUGGAAAAUUUUUAGGAAGACAAAUUUAGAGAGUAAGGAUGACAAAGUUAAAGAAUAUGUAAUUCUUGAUAGAUGGUGGGAUAAAUUAGAAUACUUCUUGAGUUUUACAACCCCCAUUUAUGAUAUGAUAGGGAAAGAUGAUAUUGAUACUCCUUGUUUGCAUUUGAUAUAUGAUAUGUGGGACUCUAUGAUUGAAGAAGUGAGGGAGAAAGUUUUUGAGCAUGAGGGUCAAGAUGUAGUUACAGGUCAGUCCGCUUUUUUUUUUUAUGUUCUUCAAGGUGUUUUGGAAGCAAGGUGGAACAAAAGCAAUACUCCCCUUCACUGUAUGGCACAUGCACUAGUUCUGAAGUGGAAUGGUUCCCAGGGUUGCACCUAAUGAAGAUCAAGAAGUAUCUCUCAAUAGAGAUGAAUGUUUCACAAAGAUGUUCACAAAUUCUGAUGAUCUUAAAAAAGUGUAUGCUGAAUAUGGACAGUUCUCGGGGCUUUGGGCUUUUUUAGUGAAACACAUGUAAUGGAAGCUAGGGCGCAUGAAGAGCCCUUGAGUUGGUGGGCCAAUUAUGGUUCAUUGACACCAACAUUGCAAGCUCUAGCAUAUAAGUUUCUUUCAUAGCCUGCAUCUUCCUCCUGGUGUGAAAGAAACUGGAGUUCUUUCCCUAGUAUCCAAAGUCUCAAGAGAAAUAAACUAGCUUCAAGUAGGACUGAGGACCUCGUCUAUGUUCACACCAACCUACACAUGCUGUCUAGAAAGAAGGAAGAGUACAAGGUUGGUCCAUCAAGCUAUUGGGAUUUUGGUGGAGAUGUACUUCUUGUGGAUGAUGACUAUGCUGACACUUUUAUGAAUCUAUUUGUUGAUUACCCGGAUAUUGAAGGUGUGCUUUUCAAGGAUAAAGAAGAGCAAGUGAACUGACGUGGUGGCUGGUGCUGGUUGAUAAAUCUGCUAGUUGAAGAUGCUGCUGACCUAAAGAUUAUGUUUUUGCUUUUUUGUUAGUUCAGUUUAUGUUAGUCAAUAUUUGGAAUUGGCAACUCUAAUUUAUAAAGGUUUCAAAUUGUGUUGGAA